GACAGAGGGUGCAAACGUUGUUCGGAUUUACUGGGCGUAAAGCGCGUGUAGGCGGCUUUGCAAGUCGGAUGUGAAAGCCCACGGCUCAACUGUGGAAGUGCAUCCGAAACUGCAUGGCUGGAGUCUCGGAGAGGAAGGUGGAAUGCUUGGUGUAGAGGUGAAAUUCGUAGAUAUCAAGCAGAACACCUGCGGCGAAGGCGGCCUUCUGGACGAUGACUGACGCUGAGACGCGAAAGCGUGGGGAGCAAACAGG
rnacentral:rRNA from 1 species